GAACGCUGGCGGCAUGCCUUACACAUGCAAGUCGAACGGCAGGCACGGGGCAACCUGGUGGCGAGUGGCGAACGGGUGAGUAAUGCAUCGGAACGUGCCAUUGAGUGGGGGAUAACGUAGCGAAAGUUGCGCUAAUACCGCAUAUUCUGUGAGCAGGAAAGCAGGGGGACCGCAAGGCCUUGCGCUCUUUGAGCGGCCGAUGUCAGAUUAGCUAGUUGGUGAGGUAACGCUUACCAAGGCGACGAUCUGUAGCGGGUCUGAGAGGAUGAUCCGCCACACUGGAACUGAGACACGGUCCAGACUCCUACGGGAGGCAGCAGUGGGGAAUUUUGGACAAUGGGCGCAAGCCUGAUCCAGCCAUGCCGCGUGAGUGAAGAAGGCCUUCGGGUUGUAAAGCUCUUUCGGCCGGGAAGAAAUCGCAUGGGUUAAUACCCUGUGUGGAUGACGGUACCGGAAUAAGAAGCACCGGCUAACUACGUG
rnacentral:rRNA from 1 species